UGUUACAUUUUGUUGCUGUGGGACAAAUUGCAUGGAAGGGGCAGUCUGAUAAAAUGGUGUUUCACAUGGAAUUGCAUGUGAAGCAAAGAUGUGUCAUUGAACACAACUUUCUACACUCCAUGUGGAAAAAGUGGCAUUCAUUGAUGUUCAUCUCCACUUGCUGAACACUUAUGGAGAGCAUUAUUGAGACCAGAGAGGGGUUGUCAGUGGCUCAGUAUUUGAAUGGACAUUGGUGAUGAGUGGUGUCUCCCAGGUGGUGGUGCUGGGGCUGAUAGUCUUUAAUUUAGUGAGACUGACAGAGUGGUUGAGUGCACACAAGCAAGUUUGGUGAUGAUGCUAUGCCAUGGGGUGCAGUCGACACACCAGAGGGAUGGGAUUCCAGAGGGACCUAUAAAGGCUGAACAGUGGGCCCAGGUGAACCUCAUGAGGUUUAAUGAAUCCAAGUGCAAGGUCUUGCACCUAGGCUGGUGCAACCCCCAUUUCAGAAAACACAAUUUAAAAUGUUCAUCUAUUUAAGCAUGUAUUUAUAAAAAUGUCACGUGUUUUUAACAGGAAUUGAUCAUGUUGGGAUUACUGAAAACUGUGUCUUCCCUUUUGAGAACACGAGCUGUGAAUAUUCACGUAAAUCUUUUUACUUAUCUGAAAAAUGCUGAUAAUUGCACUCCAUCUUAUCCCUUCUUGCUUUUGUUAGAGUCUGUUUACAUUUUCUGCUCGAUGUGGAGAGUAUGAUCUUCCUUAUGCUACAUACUCAUCUAUUUUGACAGUGUGGAUUCUCAUCUGAAUGUCUUUUUGGCUGCCAUGGUGGGAACUGUAACCUAUUUUUAUGCCUGAAGAGAGUAACAGCCUCAGUAUAUUAUGACAUUGUUGUGUCAGUGAGCUUUCUGAAUAGACUUGUUAGCUUCCUCCAAACAUUUACCUGGAGUAUGUCUUUUUAAAGGUGGUUAAUAACCUGCAGGUGACAGAGCCCGUUUUCCCAGUUCUCCCAGAACAUCACUGGAAACUCCACUCCCAUCUAUCUAAUUUUCUUUCUCUCAGUUCUCUCAGUAUGUGUUUUCUCCAGGUUCUUUGGGUUUCUAGGUUGCCUUUGAUUAAGUUAAGGAUAUCUACGUGUUACCAUCAGAAGUCUGAACCAAAGUCUGGGGCUUGAGCUGUCAGGGCACUGUGGAAACCAUGCGUGACUGUGGUGACAGGUUGAAAGGUCCUGCAGAGAUCAUAGCCUUGAAGAAAUGGGAGGGAAGGAGGCUGUUUCUCAGCAUAGUGGUGGCUUCCCUCCUUUGUGUUCAAAACAUGUUUAGAUGCUGUACUAUGGGACAUGGUUUAGUGGGGAUGAUGCCUUCAGAGUCUCUCACAGUAUAUUUCUUCUGCUUGUAUGGUCACCUCUGUAGGUAGCAGGGCUGUUUCUGCAGCCUUGCAGCACUGGUGUUGUUAAUGUCUUUCCUUUCCCCUGUAAAAACACUUUUCAGAGCCCCUUAUAACAAACUGACUGGCCACAGAAGCAAUUGUCAAAGUGCAACAAACUGCGUGUGUAUCUCUCAGGGCUUGGGCAGCUGUAAUUUGUCACUUGUUUGUAGCUGCUUUAUCAGUGUGCUAAACACUUUCUGAGCUUUUGUAGAAGCAUUUUUUGACAAAUAGGGCAGAUUUCUGCAGUGCUGUAACAGUGUUGCAAAACUGACAUUUUUUAUUUUUUUUUUUGUUUCCACUACUGGGGAUUUCUCAAUUAUUUAAUUUUGGUAUUUUAGGAGACCACUUUUAUUGUUGCUUUUCUUCCUUUUUGUUUUGUUAUGGGAAGAAAAUAAGUUCUGUUUGAAGAUCUCACUAACCUUUAAAUCUCAUUUCUUUUUUUGGCAAUGUAGGGAUUCAGUGGGGAUCUGCAAUAUCUAUACCUGGUGACCAGUGCAAUGUUGUACAUGGAUUCACGUUCUACUUUUCACAUUAACUUCAGUGAAAUUCUCAGAUCUCAGCUGAAAAGAAAGGAUAUCAGAUAUAUUCAAGUAUCUUCAGCUUACCUUCUUACCUCACUCCAGUUUUUUCUCCUAGUAGUCCUUCCUACUCUGACUUUUGAUGUUAUUGACCAAUAUGUUACUUCUGAUUGUACAUACAUCACCUUCAGACUCGAUGUCCAAAUCUCCUUACAUGCUUUUUCAAAACUAAAUAAGGAAGUGCUGUGUUUAGUCUGCAACCAUAAUUGAGUACUUGACAUAAUGAUGUCAUAUUUCACUUCUGUUUGUUGGUGGAUGGAAACCUGUAUUUCUUUUUGCUGUAGCUUUUAUUUCUCAUAUUUCUGCUUUCUGCUUUGUCGUAUCCAGAUGUCUCUUUUUUUAGUGGGAUAAAUGAAAAAUACCAGCUUAAAACUUUAAAACAUUAAAUACUUAAACACUAUUUUUUUUAAAUAAGUUUAGUUUGAAAUUAAUACAUAAACUUUUUAUGGCAGGAGAUAUUUAGAUCUUAUUCAAAUAGUGCUGUUUAGAGGAAGAUCUGUCAUUUUUUUAUAAGGAUUUAUUUGUCUUUCUUAUGACUUAAGGUUUUUGAGUUAAAUUUUGACAUUUUAUGUUCUUGGAAAUCUUUGCUCUAUUUAUACAAAGACAUUUCUGAAGUAUAUGCCCACUGGUAUAUUAUGAGAAAUGUAAAAUUUAUUGUCAGCAGAGGAUGUAUAUAGCACACUGACAGCAAUUCUGAAGUGAAGACAUCUAGUCUGUAGUUUAUGCACACUUCAUAUUCAUGUCAGACUGUCCAGGUGGAUUCAGGAUAAGAGGAUGCUUGCUCUGACAGUUACAAAUCUGGGACUGGUGGCCCAGCUUCCACAUGAAGCAAUUUUCUAUUGUACUCCGGUCUGCAAAUGUGCUACAGAAGUCAUGACUAAGGAAAUGGUUAAAUCAGCAAAUUCAUCUGUUACUGCUCUUUUACUUAUUGGCCUGGUGCUUUUUGCUAAGCUUUACCCUGUAAUCCAUAUGAAUCCACAUGGCUUUACUGAUCUGUGUAGUGUUGGUACCUUGCUGUUCAAAAAAGCAUUAUAAAGUUUUAUUUAUCCUUUGUAUCUAAUUCCUACUGGAAGACAACACCUUGUAUUCACAUAAGAUAUUCAUUAAGGUAACCCCUGAAGAACUGAGGUAUUGCACAAUGUAUUUCACUCAUUGCUUAUCACGCUGAGUAAAUCCAUAAGACAUGUAUUUCUCAUAAGUAUUAAGUGAAAAAAUAUCCAAAGUAGAGCAUGGUUAACAGAGGAAAAGCCUUUAAGCUGAUGAAUCCUUCCCCUCUUGCAUUUGCAUUUGUUGGGAUUCAAAAAUGAAGUGACAGAGUGCCUCACAACAGAUGGACACCCAGCACACUUUCAAGUUCCAGGAAUUCCAAAAUAAGACUUAGAGAGAUUUGGAGAUCUUGUUGUUUUCUUUUGUGUUUGGGCAUAAGAACUAUAACCAUUGGACAUUUUUAUUUUUAGAGAAAUGAGUUUUCCAUGUGAUCAUAAAACUUAGGGUUUGAUAGCUUAGGAAUAAAAGACCAGAUUUGAAAACUGACUGUAAAAAUAAUGACGUGUGACAAUAUUUCAUUCAUCAGAGGUAGCAGAACUGGAGCAUUAUAUUAUCUGGAAUUAUAUAACAUCUAUGAUACUGUGCAGUAUUAUCCAAUUAUCUCUGUUCAUGCAAUUAGAAUUUCCCCUUACGAUAAAUAUUGUAAGUAAAUCUAUCCACUGCUGCAGUUCAGAGUAUAUCUGCUUAAUUUCAUUUUGCUGUCCCUCUACUGCAGCAGAUGAGUAUCAGCCAAGCCAGAGAGGUACGAGAUAGCAUCAAGUGCUAUUUAUCUAAGAAUAUUUUGUGAGUGUUCACUUUUCAGAAUAAGGUGAAAUUACUCUCCUCUGAUAGGCUUCUAUGCCAAGAAUUUUUGAACACGAUGUUACCUGUAGCAAAGAAGAGGCCACAUGUAAAAUAGAAGUGCAUAAAGCAGGAUAUAAUUAAUACUAUUUUACCUCAAUGCAAAAUAUUAGUAUACUGAAACAGUAUAAAAAGUAACAUGAGUGUAGUUUGUAAAUAUUAGGGCAUAGCAAGGCACAGGGUAUGCACACUUCAUAUACUUAGGUGAGAGAUGUGAACAGCAAGGAUGCAUGCGUAUUUUAGGUACACAAGAGGCAGUGAGAAAACAGCUAGUUGUAAAAUAAAGAGCAAGAUAAGCACAAGAGACUACAAAUACACAGGACAUCCUUUUCAGUAUACCAAAAGUUGAAAUGUUUAAAGCAAAUACAAAAUAAGUAGUAUCAGGAGCAAUUGAGUCCCCCCUUUUGGGAGGCAUAAAGCCAAGUAAGAUAAAAAACAGCAGGAAUCAAGGAAAGAAAAGAAGCAGAAUAGCAUGCUGUAAUUCUGAUUCCUGUCAAAGAGCUCUCAUGCUCUCACCCUGAUCUCAGACACUAAGACCACCAAGAACUGCAAACCAUCAACAUAAUCUACAUGAUAUCUGUGUGGCACUAUGUACUCACACCUAAUUUAGACUGUGUUUAAGAGGAGUAGUUUUCUAUACAUAAUGAUGUUGAUUAAUAAUUUUAAGUACUGUUAAUUGGUAGUAUAAGAAAUAGUCAUUAAUCAAAGUAUGUUGCUAAUAAAUGAUUUUUAGAAGUUUAAGUCUGGCUGAACGCUUGGUUUUCUGAAUUUACCACGAUGUUCUGCGAUUUCUUAACUUAUAUUCAUGUAUAUUUAUGUGUUGACAUAAGUGAAUAUGUACGUAUACAUUUAUAUACACAUAGUCACACAGUGCACAUACCUGUCCACCCAUCCAGGUGGAUAAUGUCCUGAUUUGAUUUAGAAGAUAUUAUACGAGACUGUACAAGACAUUGGUAAAAUCAAACUCAAAAUCUCCACAACCUAUUGAAGAUGGUAAUGCGUUUUCUUGUAAGGACAACUCCCAGCUCUCUCUAUAGCCCUAAAUGCAGCCUACUUGAUUCCAUGGCCUUGUAUGAGUCAAGUUAUCUCAGGUACUGCCUGUUUCAAGCAACCUUCAUUUGCUGUUGGUAGCUCUUUUCCUCAAACUCCUAUGUUAAGCUCAUGAAUCUGGGAUACUUUAUUAGUGAUUGGAAGAUGAAAUCAGUCUAUACCACUUCCUUAUCUGUCAAUAAACAAAUACUGCAUCUGAUAUUUCAUAGAUGUGUUAUAAAAGCAGAAGUUGAACUGUUUGAUCUAAACUUGCAAAUGAAUAUUACAAAACAUACGCAAAUAUAAUAAUACUAGAUUUAUAGUUACUUGAGUCCCCAAGAAAGUCUGCAAGAGGUAGCACUGAAUGCAGAGAUUCAUGAUCUGCAGAUUCAUGAGCGUAUGUGUAAUGGGAGUCUGGAGUCCCUUUAAGUGACUUAUGUAAUAAAGAUUUCUCAGUGAAAAUGCACUUGAGCUGAAGUAGUGAAAUCCCACUCCAGAAUAGAUAGUCCUUUCACCUUCCCUUUAGUCUUUUGGCUGCAACUUCUGUUUUUUACUUUUGCUUGGGUCUGACUCAGUUUGCUAAAAUAAUCAUUUAAUUUUGCCAGGUAAGAAAGAGAACAUAUCUUUUAAUAUAUAUAGCUGACAUUUUGGCAAGAAUUAUUGAAGGGAAGAAACUGACCUCUUUUAGUUGUACUGAGCUUUUAGAUAAACAGAAAUGUAAUAGGCAACUUUGUCUUUAGUAUCCCAAGUUGUAUGUAUAGAUUCUCUGCAGUCAAACAGGAAAAUUCUAGCGUGUAACAAACUAGCUUAAAGCAAUUACUUUUAUCCACAAAUGUUUGUAAAUGCCAUUGUUUCAACCAUGUUAGCUCUUCUUGAAUGGUUAGUCAACUGCUUAGAAAGGUUGUAACUUAAAUGAGAUGCAGAAGGCUUGAGUGCCACAUUUUUCAGCAUGUUGAUAAAUGCUGCAGCUACAAUCUAAAAAUACUCAUUGUAUUGUAAACACCACUGCAUCAUUUAUUAAAAUAUGAAUUAAUGAGGUCCAUAGAUUUUCCACUGCAUUAGGCAAUACUUGACUGUACAAGAGAGAGCUCAGCUGAGAAUUCUGCAGCAGUCAGUUUUUCACUAGCAGCUUUACCUCCAUCUUCUCUUCUUUGUUGUGGGUGUUGGUAUUCUUCAGUGUCAGCACCCUCCCCUAAUGUCAAAUUCAUGUCCUCUGCUUUUGCUUCUGUUUGAACUUUGUCGAAUGGUUUUGAGUGUAUAUAUUCUGCCUUGUACUUCAUCUCCUUAAAAUGAUAUGAUAUAGUUCUGUAUACAAUUCAUAAAUUCAUUUAUAUUUUCAUCUCCAAAAUAGCCAAAGCAUUAUCUUUCAUUCCAAUAGAAGACUAAACACUCACUCUGCUGAGUGUCUUCAGCUGGGAUUGGGGAAACUGAAAUAGACACCAGAUCAGAUUGCCCAGAGCCCCAUCCAGUCUGGCCUUGAACAGAGGAUGGGGCAUCUGCACAUUCUCUGGGCAAUCUGUUCCAGCCCCUUACCAGCCUCUGAGUGAAAAUUUUUCCCCUAAAAUCUAAAUACCUCCUCUCUCAGUUUAAAAACCAUUCCUCAUUGUCCUGUCACUGCCUACCCAUGUAAAAACUCAUUCUCCCCUCCUGAAUAAGAUUCCCUUAUUCCUCGUUUCAGGGUUUUAUGAGUACUGUUAGCUGCUAUGUCAAAUGUUACCAAACAGACUCUUAAGGACAUAAUAUUUGUGAAGCAAACCUCUGGUGACACAUUUGAAAAUGUGAGCCAGAAUUACUACUGUAACUUUAUGCUUAAAAUAAUUUGUAUAACAUAAAACUUUUAAAAGAUUGUUUUGGUUGUUUUUUGUGGUUUUUUUUUUGUUGUUGUUGUUUGUUUGUUUUUUGUUUUUGUUUUUGUUUUCCUAUGGAAGGGAUAACUGGGAAAAACUAUAGAUAUAUAGUUUAUAGAUAUAUAGAAAAAAUAGAUAGUUGUGACUGGAUUGAGUAACAAACUUUGUAUGAUCUACUGUACAAGUGAAGAUAGAACAACUAACUGCUCUUCUCUUACAAAAGAUUGCACCGGUUUUCUCCCAAAGGUGCUUAAAUAGCAGAUCAUGCUUAACUGUUUAGAAGAUUCUGCCAUCUAGUGAUUGGACUUGCUGUUUGAACAUUUUGCAUGUCACUCCAGCUGGCAUUGAUGGUUGGACUAGAUGAUCUUAGUGGUCUUUUCCAACCUUAAUUAAUCCGUUAUUCUAUGAUUCUAAGACAUCCUCCAUAUCUUUGAGCAGCUCAAUCUGAUUUUUGCUUCCUAAAUGUCACUGCUUUUCUUAGUUGAAAAUCAUUUUAUGUCUGUCCAGCACUUAUCUGCUAUGGUUAUUGAUUUUGAAAUUCAAAUUAUUGAAAUUCAAAUUCAGAAUAUUUUGUAUGUUUGUUUAUUUAUUUCCUCAGUAAUACAUGUCUGGGAGAGUAAGCAGUGGCUCUCUGCUGCACCUGAAACCUGUCGUGCUCUUAUUAUGGUAUAAAAUGCUACUUUACAAGGAUUGCUCUUGACAAACAGAUGAACAGCUGUAGACAAUUGGAACAUACAAAGAAACAGCAUCUCUUUUAAACCAACCUCAUCUGAUUUCCUGAGACAGCGUGAUGAUGUCUGGUUAAUGCACUGCUGUUUUUCCUAAAGCAACAGUGACAACAACAUUUCUUCCUCCAACUCCUUUGCUCUGUAUUCUGCUCUAAUACUGGACUUAGAAAAGUGACUGUCCUUAAGAUGUUUCAUUUCUGUUCUCAAGAUGGAGAAUAAUGUAGAAGAGGUUGACUUAAACACAGCGAGCGUAUGGAUCUUUACAGAAGGCACUGUCUUUUUCCCAUUAUCUGUGAUGACUGAGAACUCCUUGCAUAUGUCUGAACUGUAUGGCCAAAUUGAGAUUAUUGUUUUUAUAUCCUUUGGAGCCACCAAUCACACUACGAAAAAGAGCUGUGGGUUUGCACAUGCUGCACCAUUUGACUUCAGUGGAGCUGAUUCAGCCUGGUGAUAGCUAUCAUACUGUAUAUUCAGGUCUGUAUUACAAGUUACCACCUUUCCUUUUCUUACACUUUAAAAAGCAUUCAGUCUCAUAAACCACCUUUCUUUCCUUAAAAAAAAAAAACACACCACCAAACAUCAAAACAUUGGAACAUGGCUUUCAGUGAACAUGGAAUGUGGUUUUUGAGUGUGAUGAUUUUGAGACAAAUAGGUAAAUGAUAGCUGAUAGCACAUUGUUUUUUACUGAUUGACAUGCUAUAUUCUUCAUAGCUUAACAAGUUAAGGAAAAAGUAAAUCUCUGAUGAGCUGUCAGCCUUCUGGGUCAGCUGUAUGAAAAGGAUUAGUGGUGGCUAAAGGUCAAGGGGCAGUAAGAGUUUCUACAAACACUUCAGAAACUGAGAGGACAAAUGCCUGGUAGGGGGCACUCCUUUCAUUUGAAAAGUAGAAUCUAAUGCAACAGUGACUGGGAAAUGCUUACUACCUACACUACAUUGCCUUUCACUACUAGUCUUCAGUGAGAAAAGCAAAUAGAUACAGAGAAAUUAUUUCCAUGUUUCUGAUCAGUCGAUGAAAAAUAGGUAAAGGAAUGUGUGGAAAGCAGGUCCACAGAUUGGCAGAUGGAAUGACAAGAUUUCCAGUUGGGCUGGUAACCAGUUCUAUUUGUAUCUUUAAAAGAAUCAGACAAUCAUAAUGGAAACUCCCGGCAUCUUCCUGGCAGUAAGUGUAAGUGUAACCUGAAGACCAGCCAGCUAUUGUUUUGAUAAGUUUGAUCACUUUUUGAUAAACCAUUAGACAUAAUCCACAAUAAGAGCUCAAAAUCUUUUCAAGUUGACAUACAAUUACUCAUCCUUUAAUCCAGGUUCACUUUUAUGGAUUAAGUGCUUUGCAACAUCCAAAACCUUUCAUCUGAUACCAGUUAAGGUUACUAAAGUUGAAGAAUACAGACUUCUUUUCUAGGUACAGAACCUGUUGCUCUUCUUCAAACAUUUUCCAGCUGUUGCUUUUUGUCAGUCGGCUAUCAGAAGGCUGGUGGGUUUUACUCAUACCACUUUCAUUAAGACAGGCACAAGGGCACAGAGCUGCACCAGAGGAGGUUCAGACUGAAUAUAGGGAAAAUAAUUCUUUACUGUGAGGGGGAUGGGAUACUGGAAGAGGCUUCCUGAGAAGUUGAUGAUGCCCCAUUGUUUGUCAGUGUUUACAAGCCAUUAGGUCGUCUUUACUUUUGGUUAGUCCUGAAGUGGUUGGGUAGAUGGACUUGACAACCUUUGUAGGUAGCUAAGAUGUUCUAUUGUACUCUAUUCUAUUCCAUUUUACCAUAUUCAUAUAGUUUAUUUAGAAGGAAAUGUAUUGGCUGCCCUCUAAGCUGGAACUGCUCCUGACUACCUCUAUGCAAGUGUACUGAAAAUUUGGGUUCCUGUUUGGUGUGUACUGUCAGUGCUUCUUUUCCUCAGCAGCUGUAGUGAACCAGAAAUGAAGUAAAACAUACACACAGCUUAACUGUGAGAGGAAGAAAGAAAAUAAAAGUAUAACAAAUUAUUUCAUUAUCAAAGUAAAAUUCUGUAUGAAUUUUUCUCAAUAUUUUGGCCAGAAUGACCAGAUAUCCUGCUAAAGAAAUUCACCAAUCCUGUCUCCAGUCUCCACCGAACAUUAGGGAGAAUGCAUGUCAUGAAGGAAAAUCACUGAAUCAUGGAAAGUACAUGUCCCUCACAAAACGUGUGUGCAAUGCUUUUAUGACAUAGAAAGACAUGAACAGGGCCUGCAAGAUCAUGGAUCCUUCUGCUUUUUGCAACAUAAAAGACCUGAUCUAACUUAUAUUUUGCUGUAGGACUGUUGGGUAAUAAGGUGGGAGAGAAUUAACUCUUGGUUUAUAUGAAUGCUCUUAAUUAAUUGUUCUUGGUACUAUAUGGGCUCAUCUGCUCACUACCUCGCUGUGUCCCAAGGCUGAUGGCUUAGUCUGUCAGGAGGAAGACAGAAGGUUCUGACAAGUCAUGGAUUUUGGUAUGUUUUCUAACAAGCUCUACCUAGUUCCUCCUCCAUGGAUCUACAGAUUCACCUUAUAUCCAAAUCUACUCUAAAUCCCGUGCUUUACAUACCAUGGAUACAUGUCCAUUCUUCUCCUUGUCACAUUUAAAACUGGUUUUUCUCAGUUCCAGGGGUUGCAUUCCUUUGGUAGAGCAGUAAAUAACCAUUGAUGACAUCGUUUUUAGGCCUGGAGCAUCACAUGCAGCCCCGUAGUUAUGUUUACAAGUCAAUUCUACAUGGGAUAAAUGCUUGUUAUUGGUACGUGUUAGUUAUAAAUAAUUGUAAACAGUAGUAUAUCAUGCUAUGUGUACAAGCUAGGCAAAAGAAAUACCUUAUUCUGUACGUAGUCUGUUAUUUCAUUGACUGUGAUUUAAGUGAUUUAAUUAUGCAUGUUGAUAGAGCUUUCUGUUGAGUAAAUGCAGGAGGUAAUAGUGCUGAGAACAGUGCUUCCUCCAGCAGCCACUACUGCUCUUUUAUUUUAGAAAUAACUGCAUUUGUACAUGAACUUAUUACAUCGUUGUAACUUCAAAAGUUCAUGUAGAUGUUUGGAAUGGGUGAUUUUCUUUGUAUCUUCAAAGUACAUUAAAAAAAAUCCAAUUUGGAAUGUCCACAUGUUCUAUCUGUAUUAUAACUGAAGUGUUUCUUUCAUUUUAAGGACUUUCACUAUAUGGCUGUGAGCAAAAGCACACAGAUUAUUUGAAUUUUUAAGAUUCCUCACUUAAAAUUACAUUUUUCUUUGCAUUUUCUUUUCUACAGUUUGACUUGUCUGUGAUAAUUUCCUUUAUUCCUGUAGGAAUAGUGCUUGCAGGGAUCUCAGAGCAAAUAAGCUAGGCCAUGAAAAAUCUUAAAAACAUCAACUUUGAAUGGCAAAGCCCAUGAUUUCAUGUGCCAGGUAGAUUACGUCAGUCUUUCUUCUCAUAUCCACCGACACAGCUGUGUUAUCGGGCAGGACCAGCCUUUGGCGAAGCCAUGCUGGUUCUCCCAUAUCCCCCAUUUCUCUUAUGUGAACCUUAGCAGAGCUCCCAGGGAGAUCUGCUCCAUGAUCUUCCCUGACAACAAGGUGAGGCUGACAGGUUGGUAGUUCCCAGGAUCAGCCUUUCUAAAAUGCAUUUCUCUAAAAUGGGUACAACAUUGCCUUUCUUCCAGCACCAGGGACUUCACCGGAGGAAAUACGUGGCCAUUCAGGCCUUCACUCUUACUCUCCUCUCCCUUUCUUCUCCCUCUCCUGUCCCUUUUCUUUUUUUUUUCUUUUUUAUUCUUGAGUCUAUUCAUUAAGAUUUGUAGAAAGCAGAUGCAGUUCUGUUUAAUGCAUGCAGACUUCAUUUCUUAUUGAACUAUUUGCAUUACUUUGAAUUUUGAAAAGCUUAAGCUGUUAAUGGAUUUUGGAUGGAAUGAUAAAAAGAAUCUCAGACUCUUCGCUAUUUCCUAGUAAUUACUAAUUCUGCUUCCAGAAGGAGGUUUAAUGCUUAUCCCUAAAAUUAACCAUGCAUGCCUUUUAGAAUGUGUAUUUAAAGGAACUCCUGCUGCUAUGGUAGGAUUUUAUAUUGUAGAAUUCUUGUAAACAUGCAGGAAUUAACUUGUACAUCUGCUUUGUGAGGUAUAAAUUUUUUGUUAUAUACCCAUACAUGUACGUGUGCCAUCCAUCAGCUCAGAGCAUGUGUCUUCCCUACACUUUUAUCUGGCUAAUAAUUCAGCCAUAUACAGUCGUAGCCUUUAACAGAACCAUGACUUUGGUCCUUAAAUGCCAUAGAGUUUUAGGUUUGCAUAAAGUCCAAAGUUGUCUUUUAGUUGUUGUGUACUAUACCCUUAUCCCUAGUUUCUCUCAAUCCAAAGACAUCAGCAGACAUUACCAUGAGCAAUGGCUAAGCAUAGAUUAUUUGACUUUACACUGGAGUGGGCUGGGAGAACUUCUAUUGCAAGGGAAAAAUUAAUAGGUAACAACAGAAAGCUAAAGCCUAUCUGUAGAACAGACAAUCCUUAUUUAGUUAUAACUACUGAGUGAUCUCCUGUAGGAAAGAAGAAGAAAGGCACCAAUGAUCUGAACUGAGAUGAGGCAGCUUACUGCUGAGCUGCCAAGCCCUGGAGCACCCUCACCGUGUCACAGGUGCCUGUGGUUGAGGACAGAUCACACACAUGGAUAUGUUCCCUUUUGCUCGUAACAGGAUUUGUACAUGUAACAUAACAAGUUUCUAUUUCCCUGUCUGUAGUACUCACAAAUUCUUAGUAAACUAAUUUAAAUUUCUAAUCUAGUAGAAAACUAUACCAGGAAAACAAAAAAAAGAAGAAAGCAAAAUAAUGUAUUCCACUGAUUUAAUACAGAGUCAGAUGUAAACAAAACCUGGUGGCAGCAGGACUCGUGCUGAAGCAAGCAGAAUGAAAGGGGAAAAAACUUGGGAUAAAACAGCUUCAUCUGAAGGAGAAUUUAAACUUGUCACUGCUAAGCAGUGUUUAUUUGUGAUGGAGCGAUGGUCUGGUGUAGCCAACAGGAUGGUGUGACAGCAUUACAGUUAAAGCUGUCUGGGAGCAGGAAUGUCAGAAAAACUCUAUAUGAAGUGUGCAAAGGUUAAUUUCUGAUGAGAUGCUAGUAUCUUGUAACUAUCAUGGGAAGGGAGCCCUUUGAGAUUACUUUUGGUAGACAGAACUGGCACUAGGGGUUGCACGGGGCACCAGGUUAGGGUGCCUGAUGCAGAUGCUCAUACGAUGAGUGCUGACAUUGCCAUAUGGGGUGUAAUAUCCCUGUGGCCAGCAUAGAAUAGCUAUCCUGAUUCUGUCCACUCCCAACUCCUGGCGCCCCUUCAGCAGACAGGACAGGAUGAGAAGCUGAAAAACUCUGAGCAGCAACAACUAAAACAUCAGUGUGUUAUUGACAUUGGUUUUUUCUCCUGGAGACAAAACACAGCAGCACACCACACACUAUAAAGAAAAUCAGCUCUGACCCAGCUGAAAUCAUAACGUCAGUGCAUUGCUCAGUAAAUGCCUUUACAUUUAAGGACAAGCAUGUUUUAUAUUCCCCAACACAGCCUUGUCAUGUGAUUAUGAACUCAUAAAUUAGAGAUGCUAAGUACUGGCUGAUGACAAACAAUUUUGUGAACUGUGUGAAUGAUUAUUAAAUUGGACAUAGUAAAAUCAUUAGAAUAAUAACGCACUAAAAAAAAAAAAAGAAAAAAGAAAAGAAAAAAAGAAAAAAGAGAUAUUCAUGGUCUUAAUUUCACUCUUGUUUUCCUGUAUUUUGCUUUUCCAUUGGUCACAAUACGAAAACUCAAGGAUUUAAAUGCAUCCUUACUGAUAGACAAUUUGCUUUAUAGGAGUAGUAAAAAUAUAAGAAUAUAUAGGAAAUACAGAGGAAUACAUAAAAAAUACUAGGAGCUGAUUUAUACUCUGUAUUAUUCAAUAGACUUACACUGUUUUAUUAUCCUUUACAUAAUAACUGUUAUCAAAUCAGGGAAUACAAAAAUUCUUCCUCUGCAAUAAGGGUGGCUUAGCAUAAGCAAAAUCCUAGCAGGAAAAUCUAUUAGCAAAGCACAGUUAUUGUAAUAAACUAGAUGCUCAUUUCUCACUAUCUAAAUAGGCUUUCCAACAGCCACAUAUGGUCAUUUCUUUUGAUUCUAAUAUCGUGUCUCUCUCAGUUGUUCCUGGGGGUCACUUUAAUACAGGUAACUGAACUACAGUUAAUCCUGCAUAUGUUGUUCUAGGUUAGUUGCUUACUAACCUAACAGGCAUGUUGCAUGCCUGUCCUCGUUUACUUGUGCUAUGGCUGCCUUUCACUCACUGUCACAUACUCAACUCCAUGUGAUCAUUUGGUAAGUCUUGCAUGAGUAUAUCAUAUUUAUUACUCACUAAGCAGCUACAGAAUAACGUGACAUCUAAUAAACCCAAUUCCUUUAAAAACCCCACUGUGCUCUUUAUUAGCUGGUGCUGCUCCAUGGGCAGUAAUAGGAUGGUUUCAAAGAAAAUAAGAAUUUUAUCUUUAGAAAUGGGGUGGUGGUUUACUAUAUUGAAUGGUGCUUUUUUUUUUAUUGUUGUUGUUUGUGUUGGUUGGCACGCUGAGUUUUUUCUUUUUGGAGGGGACAGCAAUGAAAGGCAGACACCUAAACCGAAUGAAACAUCUGCUUUGCCUGCUACAUUCCUGCGAAGGGCAAUACUGCAUUGCUUUAGCUGAGCCAAAAGCUAAAACUGAGAUCUGUUCAGUGCUUAGAGGAUAAAGCAGAUGUAAUCUCAGUGAAGUUCCCCACAUCUGGUGUCAACAUCCUGGUAAAGAUACUGUGAGAGGAAGUUAGAAGUUAAUUUUAGGAUGAAUUUCACACUCAAUGACAUCUGGAUCAUGUUGCUUCACUGUUGCUAACUGAGACUUCAACUUCUUUUUUCUAUCAUCAAUUAGUUGAAAGCAUUUCUGAAGUUAAAUGUUCCUCUCACUUUUUCACAGAGACCUUAAAGUGUGCUGAGGUGUUGGUGAAGAAAAGUCAACUUUUUUAGUGCCUCAGAUACUGUAAAAUGCCUUUUUUCAGGGACCAGUUUAACGUGAACUGUGGCUGUAAGCAGAACAGAGAUGAAAUGUACUGGAAUUUCUUACAGUCAGAAAUGGAAGUCUGGUGUGCCUCCGAAAGAGGACACAGCUGCAAGGUCUCGCACACGUACAUGCCUCGAGAAAAAGUUGAGAAGCAGAGGAGCUACCAGCAGUGGAGGAGGAUCUGUGCAGGCUGAGAUCUUUUCAGGAGCCCACACAAGUCUCUGAGGCCAGAUGGGCUGCAUCCGAGCACUGCAAGAAAGAUUGCUCUGAUGGUACAGAGAAUGAAGCUCCAAGAUGUCUAGAGAAAGAUGGCAGCAGUUGGGCAGCCUGACAGUAUGGCACUUGGUGUCAAAGUGCACAUGAAGCAAAGGUGUGGAACCAAGUUCCUUCAUUCAGAAGAAAAUGGUGCUCAUUGGCAUUCAUCAACAUCAUCAACAUUUGCUGAAUGUCUGUGGAGACCAAGCAGGGGAUGUGAACACAGUGAGCUGGUGAGAGGUGCAUACAGUUACUGUGGUAAUCAGAGGAUAUAAAAACUGAGUAUUAUGGAAGCAACAUCAAAUUCCUUUCCUCUGCUGUAUCUGUUCCCUGUUCUGUUUUGUAGUGACUUACGCAUUACCAGGCAAAGAUAAUAACCAAAAGAAAUAUGGUGUGUUGGACCUGAAGCCAUUUUCAGCAUUUUCUACUGCUCCCUUUCAUGUGUACACCUCAGGAUCUGUGUAACAUGGUGUCUGCUUUUCUUCUUUCAAAAAAUGGCAACGUGCUCUUGCUGACCCUUCCUGAGCAGGCGUUUGGGCUGGAUCAUUUCCAGAGGUGACUUCCAACCUCAGCAGUUUUGAACAGAGAUCUGGCUCAAGCUAUCCUGGAAGCAGAGGAAGACAGAAGAAGCUACUAUAGACCUGAACUGAAUCUUGUGAGAACCACCUUCUUGUUCCCACUGCCCACCAGGCACCACAGGAGAAGGAGUAGCAAAAUCUGAGUGUUAGCCAGUGUCCCUUAGCUGUCUUUUCAAACUGUCUGGAGACACUGUUCUGAGUACCUGAGCUCCUUAAGAAAUUUAAGUAGAAGAAAGUUAUUUACUUUGUGUAAAACAGUAUGAUAUAGAUUUAGUUGUAUUAAUAAUACAUUCUGCCAGACUGCCCAUCUGCUGCCAUCUGUCACACAGCAACAACGUGUAAUAGGAUAUUGAUGGGAAGGUUCAACCUCUGCUGCCAUGCCACCAGCAUCCACUUCUGACAUGGUGAGGCAGCAUCAUCAUAUAGGAGGCAUUACUUUUGGAGUAUCCCUCAUAGUAGUAGACAAGCACUAGGCAUCUUUAGAUGCAGAUUUAUUUACAGGUACAGGUGGUGACAUAUUUUUUUGUGUGUAGUUAAAUCCUCAUAGCGUACAAAGUAGCUGUUGUAACUGCUUAGGGUCAAAUGACUGAUUGGUACAUCACUAAUAUUUACAGCUGAACUCCAACUGAAAAGGUCUUUUUGCUGUUAUGAAUCAAGCAAAGCACCUGCCUGUCUUAUGGUCCCUCUGGUUUGAGGGAUAUGAUUUUAAGGGAUAUGAUUUAGCUGGGAAGUAUUGGUAAUGGUUGGACCGGAUGAUCUUCUAGGUCUUUUCCAACCUUGAUAAUUCUGUGAUUCUGUGAUUCUGUGAGAAGCAGUCCCCAGUGCUCACUGCCCUGUGGCCAACAGUGUUAUUUAAAGAAAACCUCAUAGACAACAUCAGUUCCUGCUCUCCUUCUCACUUCCAGUUGUAAGUUUUAAUUUUGUGUGGCUCCCAGCAUUAUUGUUGCCUCUUGCAGGGAGCAUAUUCCUAGGGACACGAACAUGAGGAAGGAACGUGCUUUUUGUUUUCUCAAAUAGUUUUCUCCCAACCCACAAGUUGUACUUUUAGUUCUCUCCCCCAUUCCACUGUGAACUGGGGGGAAUGAGUGAACAGAGGUGCAGUGCUGAGCCACCUGCUGGGUUAAACCACAACGUUUUAUCACUCCAGAUCCAUACAAUCAUUUCUGCACAUGUUGAUUAUAGCCCUUGUACAGUAAAGAGAUUCUGCCUGGAAGAGUUCACUUAUCUCUUCAUAAAACUGAAAUAUAGAUCGAGCCUUCUAUGGAUGAGGACAGCUGGGCACUAAAAUGUUUGUGCUUGUCAACGCUAUGCACAGUGCAGUGUAAUUAUCACAUGCUUAUUAAUAUCUUUUUCCUGAUGUGUAUAUCUGCCUACACGUACAGGAAAUCGUCUCAGUUAAUGGAUGAAGGAAAGAAACAUCUGAACACAAAAGUUCUUUUGCAAAAGAGAUACUUAAAUAUUGUACUGGAACUACUACAGUUUGUAUUCACAGACCAGGUAGCUACUCCUGAGAGAGAUGUUCUCCCAGAGUAUACACUGGGGCUCGCUUAUCUGCUCUCUGUGGAAUGUGAAGGGUGAAUUGUAUGGUUCUGUCUUCAGCCAUACGACUGAGCUGGUUCUUUUUUCUCCAUGGUCCAUCUUUUUUCCCUUUUCUUUUUGUUACUGCUUCUCAUGCCUUCCCCAAUUAAGAUCAUAAAUUCUCAUAUUUUUGUGGGUUUUCCUUUAGGAAAGACUCGCCAGGUGCUUUUCCCUUCUUCUGGGAGAAUAUAUACAUGGAAAAUGUUUCAUUUCAGAGGUCAGUAACAAGAAGGAGGAGAAGCUGAAAUACAUUUUCAUCUGCACAGAUCCAUCAGCUUAGCAUCAGAUAGGCAGAGUCUGAGAUUAACAAGCUUUACCUUGACAGUGACUCAACUAUGAAAGCAGUACUGUGACAUUUCUUAAGAAAGGCUGCCCACAUGCAUAUUUACAAUUCAACCUGUUGGUUUUUUUCUCUCACUCGCUAAUCUCUCUCCAUUUUGUAGUGAAUUACUUACUAUAAUACUGCAAAAGGAGUUGGUUAUGGGCUGUACCUCUUGGCAUUUAGGGCACAAGAGAAGUACCAGAAUUUCUCUGGUUUCAUAUUCACUUGUACAGUGUGACGGUGAAUGUGGAUGCAAAGAGAAUAGCAAGUAACCACCCUUUCUUAUAGAGACUUCAUGCAUGUCAGAAUACAUCCCCUAAAAGCAACAGAGCAAUCUUCCUCAAUGUUUUGCCUCUCUACUUUUGGUGUUGUUUUUUUUUUUUUAAACAAAUAGUCUAGACCAGAAAUCCAUAUUUUCUGUUUGUGUACCCAACAGACAAACUAAUAAAGAAUACAAGACAUAUAUUCAGAUAUACAAAAUCCUGUCCUAAUCAGAUGGAUCGAAACCUAUAAGCACAGGUAAUUAGGAAAGAUGUAGUUGGCCAUCCAAAAAACAUUCUUCAGAUGUUUCACAUGGUAACGUGAGACACAAAUGUGGUAUCAAGAAGGUCUCUUUUGUCUGCAUGUUAGCAUUCACUUAUCUUGGAUUAACUGGGCAUUAACAGAUGCUGAAACAUGGGGAAUCUUUUUUUCUUCUUUUUUUUUAAUUAGGCGGAAUAAAAGCCUUUUAUUUGCUAUUUAAGGCUUUUGUGGUACUUCUUUGUAGUUAUUUUUUCAUUGUCUGGUAUUUUGCCCACUCAGCAGAUGAAACAGCUGUGAGAUGAGCGGUUCUUGCCUACAGGAUAUUAUUGUAGCAUUAAAAUGAUGCACGCUCAUCAUCUAGUGAAAUCCUUAUAUUUUUAUAUAUUUCUUUAUAAUUGUUUGUCAUUUAUUUAUUUUUAUGUAUAAGCAUAAAUAUGCAUGCUUUCAUUUAUUUUUAACAUGUUUUCCUGCUUAAAAAUCACCUUUAUGCUCAGUCUGCAAAGAAAAUUGGGUAUCGAUACAUACUUGUCUAAAAACAUCAAUGUGAAAGUUUCCAAAUGUUUUUUUCAGCCAUUAUUAACAGAAAUUAGUUGUGAUUUACGCAUAGUUCUCUGCCUUCAGGGUUUUUGAUUGCUUUAGCUGUUCUUUUUGAUGAAAUAAAAAGAUGAAGUAAAGAUGAAUUUAAAAUAAAUGAAUUAAAAAAUACAGAAAUAAAAUGGAGCAGGUCUGGAUCAUGACAAGCUGGUAUUAGCUGUGGUGUGCAAAAGGAGCACAAAUUCCAUGAGUUUCCCCAGAAUUCUGUGGCUGCAGUAGGUGCUCAAUGCCAGGGAUGGAUAACGCACACAACGCAUGAACAUAUUUGCACCACAACAUUCUGUGGCGCUAACAGAAAAAUAUAUGUAAUAUAGAAGCACUCAUGGAAGCAAAGAUAAAGAAUGCAAUUGCUAUUUUUUUUCCCCCACUAAUAGUCACAUAUGACGUUUGCAUGUUUUAUGUCAGUGAAUUUAAGAGCUAACGAUGUCAUAGUAGAAUGCAGAUAGGACUGAGCGCUGGUCAAAGUGCUUCAAUUUAUUUAUUUAUCUGUUUAUUAAAUUUGUAUGCUUUUCUCCAAAACAGGACAAAGUGCACCAGUUUCAGUGACCCUGCUCAGGGACAAAGGGAAAAGGUCAAAGCAUUCCAUUUGAAGAACAUAUGUUCCUGGGCUGUCUGGAUUAUGUUCAUUAGAUAGUGUAAGAAUAUAACAACAAUAAGUCUUAUUUUCAAAAUCUAAUAAAAACUAAUGAAAGGGAUUGUAUUUAAAUGAAAAGUUUUAAUGAUACUUAAAUUGUUCUUCCUUGCAGAUAUCCAUGUUUUAUUACAUUCUUUUAUUAGCUAGCACUAGUAUUUGCAAUAACAUUAUCUGAGAUUAACAUCUAUUCCUCAUAUAGUGUUACUUGAAGAUAAAUUGUUUGAUAAUCCAAGUAAAAUGCUUGGCCUUUGUGCAAUAGAAUAAAAAAGGGACAAAAGAGUUGCCAAAAUGUGAGUAAAUAAUACAGGUCAUAAGCAAGGAUAAAGACCAUAUACACAAACAUAUGAAUUUUCCAAUAAAGAAUGCCAUGGCAGGGCAACUGAUCUGCACUCUGUGUAAACUGAAGAGAUUUCAUUUCCCUUCCCUACUGAUGUGUACAAACUGCAGAGAUGUUUGGCUUUGUGAAGGGCUCUGGAGCCCUUUCCUUUUCUGAAAAUGUUGUUAAGUGACAACCUGUUAUUCCCAGGAAUCUUAACAACUGUAUUGUAAAUAGUAAUGCAUAAUUUCUUUUAACAAAACUUUCUAAGAUGAGUCUAAUUUCAGGCCAUGAAAUAAAUGCCGUGUUUGCAUUAUGCUUGUUUCAAGGCUACAAGAGAACUUUCGAAUCCUGCAACGAACAUUAAAUGAGUUUCAGUGCUUAAUGGAUUACUGCACAACCCCCUCCAACUUUUCUAGGGAUAAGGAUCUGAUUUGCAAUGAAAAUGAUAACAGGAUGUUGGUUUUUCUUUCAUAGUCUUUGUCUGUAAAAGAAGGCCAGGUAAUAUAAUGCUAAGGCAAUAUCACUUAGGAAACAGAAUUCAUAUUGUGUGUACUGAAACCAAACUAAAAGCUGCAGAAUCCACUCUACUAAUCUUUGGAGAUAACAUGCUCAUAGCUCUAGUCAUAGCACAGCUGUGUGGGAAUCCUUGGCACCCAGGAGCACUACAUUCUACUUUCCUCUCAACAUUUAAGAGCAGAAAUAUUUUAAGGCAGUCCUAACAGCCAUUUCUUCUGGGGGUUGCUAUUGUGGAGAGAGGAAGGAUACAGUACUGUAGUAUUUUAGCAUUGUGGCUGUUGUGCAAUAAAGAACACCACCAAAACCAAACAACAACAAAACACAACCCUGUGUCAUCAGUUUUCCUACUGAUGAAAAUGUAUCACAGAACAGACUCCGCUAUGUUGAGUAGGGAGGAAUAUUAGAGUAUCACUGCACUGCUUUAGUGUGUGCUCAGCAGUUGAUGCAUCUGAAAAGUCAGGAUUCUGAAGUUCAUCCUUAUCAUUUUGGCACUGCUUUUAAAAGUGCUUCCACAGAUUUACUAACAUAGGUUUUUGAUGUUUCUGUGAAUAUUUGAAGUAUUGUACUAUUUGGGAUAAAACUCUAUGACAACUCUAUGAAGUUCUUAACAUGUACGAAUAAAUAAGUUCAGAUAGAUGUUGUGGCCUAAGAGUAUGUGUUCAUUCUUCUUAAUUAAAAUACAUACUUGGAAAUUCUGAAAAAUGCCUCAUUUCAGUGCAGUGACAUUUGAAGAUGUUUUUAAUUCUUUUUGUCCUUGUUUUGGGGCUUUAUUCACCAGCAAAACUAGAAUCUAAGCAAUAAUGAUUUUACAGAUGAUUCAUAAUGUCAACGGCACCAAGAUCCACUGGAGAACAAUUUUAUUAGCUCAUGAUUUUAAUGUUCUGUAGCAGCCAGACAUUCCACAAGCUGUGAAAGAGUGCAUGUUUGAUACUCUACAAAGUUCUUUGGAAUAAAAACAGUGUCAUUAUAUUCAGUCUAUUGAAUUGUAUGUUUUCAGUGAAGAGCUUUGAUUUCUUUUCCCUUAACAAAUUACUAAGGCAGGACUUUCCCUUGAUGAACACACGCUGACUAUGAAUGAUAAAUAUUUUGUUCCAUAACUGCUUCUUAGUAUCCUCGAGCAUAAUCUUCUCCAUAACUUUUCCAGGCACUGAGGUUAGACUAACAGGUCUGUAGUUUUCUGGGUCUUCUUUGAGCUGGAAAUAAGACUGACUUGCUCCCUGUCAACAGAGGUGUUCCCAGAGUCUCCAGACCUCUGGUAAAUUUUAGUAGGGUUCAGCUACAGCACCUGCUAGCUCCUGCAACACUUUGAUAUCCAUUCAUCCUUUAAUAGUGCUCUCUGUAACUCCUAUGAGAUUUUCUCUCUGUUAUUUUCUGUGCCCACGGUUUUUCAUGUGAAAUCCAGUAGUUUUUCAAGGUCUACUCAAUGAGCUAAAACUCGGGCCAGGGCCAGCUCAUCUGCCUGCCUAUCGAUGCAGUCAUUCCACUGUACUAAGACAUGAAUCUAAACAAAGUGAUUUUCCUUUUUGGGAAGCUGUAGAAAAACAAGGAAAGAGAAAUGAAAAUGGCUGACUAAAUGUUAUCCAUAUGAUAUCACAGAAAGAAACUAGCUUCUGUAGCUCAAAAAGAAAUAUUCUGAAGGAAUACAGUAGGAUAAAAGCGGGUGAAAAGGAAUAGGGAGUAUUAAAUGAAAUUAUUAAGCAGCGUGUUGAAGGAAAACAAGUACCUUUAUCAUGCAAAUAAUGUUGCAGUACUGAGACAGCACUAAUUGAGAAUUAGUGUAGCCUGUUUGGAGAGGAUCCUGUGAGCUGGCCUACAAAGAGGAGAGAAUGUCUACAUACUGUGGGUGAUGUGAAGAUGAUGGAUUUGCACAGAUCUCUAGCAACGGUACAAGAAGUAAGACAUUGUCAUGCUGACUGGCACUCGAUUUAGAACAGAAUAUUAUGAAGAUGUUACUGGUUAGAUACCUGAGCAAGAAAGUUACAAUUGACUUAAGUGCCUGAAGUUGUUGACUUCCCAGCUAUUGCUAUGACCAGUAAGACGGGGAAUCAUUAGUGAUUUCCAGUAGUACGGCUGUCUGCAAAAUAGCCUCUGACAUCCAGAAUAACCACUGGGGCGUGAGAGGUUGAAUAAAGAUACUUGUGAAAAACUGUAUCUCUUUGUUCCAGUGCAAGCUUACAAGAAAUACUGGAAGAAAUGUUACAAGGCCAUAUUUCUCUGAUUCAGCGUAUAUGUUCUGUGUAGGUUCUUCAGAAGAACAAAUCUCCAUGCGUUUGCAGCUUCUGUGAUGCAGCUGUUUACUAAUUUAGUGUACAGCCCUCUUCAAGACUUUAGAUUCUGCUGAAUGGAUACUCUUCUAAGCACUGGUUUAAAAUAUUAAAUAUUAAAACUUUCCUGUAAUAACACUGUAGGAAGCAUUUCCCACUUGUGAUAAUGUCCAAAGUCCACUACAGAAGUUGAAAAUUCUGUCUCCAAUCCCAUUUGGAUCCAGGCAUUAGUCUGUGAGGUUCCUGUUUUUUUUCUCUCACAUUUCAUAAGGAUGCUAUUUAACAUUAGGGUAACCUGAAUUUGACCAAACCAUCAUAAAGUCCUUUGGGUAGUCAGUUUUUAGCACAAGCAAAGACUAGUAUAACGGAGUGCUUGCUAGAGAGGAACUUCCAGUCUUCUACAGGUGAAGUGUCACGUGUUACUUUAUUCCAACAUUAAGACAAACAGAAGUUUGUGUGCAUUAUUUUUAAUUGAAUGGACUCGUGCCAAAUACAUGACCUUCAUAAAUGUAUUUUUCUAAUGAAAACAAGUGAGCUCCAAAUGCUACUGACAGCUUAAGCUAA